rnacentral:tRNA from 1 species
GGGACCAUGGCUCAGUGGUAGAGCAACUGCUUGGCAUGCAGAAGGUUCCUGGUUCGAUCCUUGGCAGCCCCA